rnacentral:lncRNA from 1 species
UCUUGACUCAGAAGGAGGGAAGAGGAGCAAGAUUCAAGCACAGAUGAAGAGAUCUCUGGCCCUCAACUUGAGCUUUUUGUCUUGGCUCCAGUACUGAUCACUCAGCCUGAUGGCACACAGGCUGUUCCCAAGUGCACAGACUUUUCACAGACUGAACUUUGACUCUUCCUAGUACACAACCUUGCUAGAGACUUGCAUGAACAUUGGCAGUUCCUCUAGGUCUCCAGGAAAACUUGUUGUGGUCCUUGC